AAUUUACCAGGGCCGUCCUCCAGUUGGUGCUCCAGAAAAGGUGAAAAUGACUUUAAGAGUAGAUAAAUUGGAUUGGACUGCCCCUCAGUGGAGAAAUGCGGAUGUGUUGAUUUUCAACUCUGGUCAUUGGUGGAAUUAUGAGAAGACCAUAAGAGUGGAUUGCUACUUCCAAGAGGGGGAUGAGGUAAAGAUGGAUAUGAGCGUUGAAACUGCAUACCGAAGAUCACUUGAAACUUUGAUUGAUUGGAC
rnacentral:misc_RNA from 1 species